rnacentral:lncRNA from 1 species
GGGGCAAGACAAUGUGCAGCAACAUGAACAACAGAUAGCAGAAGAGCAUUUGAUUGAAGUUAAUAUGGCCAUCACUAACAAUGGUGAGCAGGUGGAUGGCAUAGGUGAUAGAGGGAAAGCAGUCAUGGAAGUGAAGAGUGGAGGGCAACAGUUUGAUCCGGGACCCUCUUACAGCUUAACAAAUGAUGUUUCAUGAUUGUAGUCACUUGGAACAUUAGGGGACUUAAUCAGUCCCCAAAACAGAAGGAGUUGAAACAAUUCCUUACUGAUAAUAAAGUAGAUGUAAUUG